UUUAAUCUUCUUUGAUUCAAUAUGUUGAUAGAUGGUCAUUUGGCCAUAUUUUGAACACUUUGAGUUAUUGAUAGAUCAUCCUUUGGUGUAGCAUAUGUUUGAAUCCUUUGACUUAUUGAUAGAUGAUCCCAUUGUGUUGACUUUAACUUCUAACAUACUAAUACCUAACAUCUAAUUGAUAAACCUCCAACACGUUGACUUUGACCUUUACUUUAUGCAAUUUACUUUUAUGUAUCUUACUCAUCAUUUAACUUUAUACAUUAUUCAUUUUGUCUUAUUCAUCCAUUGCUUCUUAUAUUAUGUUUGAGCUGUUUGACAAUGUCAAUGAAUCAAAACAUGAUAAAAUAAGUUGACUUAAUCCUUAAGACCUAUUCUUGACUUAGAGUGAUGAUGCCCACACUUUUGGCCUUUGGACUUAGGAUUUAGACCUUUGCUUGAUCUGGAAUGACCUUGGACUCAUUGAUCUUGGCUCUUUUGAGUUUGUCCUACUGUUGAAUUGUUGAACUUUUGGCCUUGUCAUCUUGUUUAUGAUUCAUUUUCCUUUCCUCUACUUAUCACAUUUGAUUCAUUUGCCUUUCCUCUGCUUAUCACAUUCAUUUAUUUAGGUUAGUGCACUUGCACCCACAUGGCUUACUCUCGGGCUACCUAACAAUGAGACAUAGGCUAAUUACACUUUUGCACCCACAUGGCUUACUCUUGGGAU
rnacentral:lncRNA from 1 species